rnacentral:rRNA from 1 species
AACGUAGGAGGCGAGCGUUAUCCGGAUUUACUGGGCGUAAAGCGUGUGCAGGCGGUUCGGCAAGUUGGAUGUGAAAGCUCCUGGCUUAACUAGGAGAGGUCGUUCAAUACUACCGAACUUGAAGGCAUCAGAGGAAGAUGGAAUUCCCGGUGUAGUGGUGAAAUGCGUAGAUAUCGGGAGGAACACCAGUGGCGAAGGCGGUCUUCUGGGAUGUUCUUGACGCUCAUACACGAAAGCUAGGGUAGCGAACGGG